GUGCAGCAGGCGAGAAUCCUUCGCAAUGCGGGAAACCGCGACGAGGGGACUCCCAGUGCCUACGCUCAGCGUAGGCUGUUCCCGAGCCUAGAAAGCUCGGGGAGUAAGGGCUGGGUAAGACGGGUGCCAGCCGCCGCGGUAAUACCCGCAGCCCGAGUGGUGGCCACUAUUAUUGGGCCUAAAGCGUCCGUAGCCGGCCCGGUAAAUGCCUGGGUAAAUCGUGAGGCCUAACCUCACGAAUUCCGGGUAGACUGCCGGGCUAGGGGACCGGAGGAGGGAGAGGGGUACUCCAGGGGUAGGGGUGAAAUCCUGUAAUCCCUGGAGGACCACCGGUGGCGAAGGCGCUCUCCUAGGACGGGUCCGACGGUGAGGGACGAAAGCCAGGGGAGCGAACCGGAUUAGAUACCCCCGUAGU
rnacentral:rRNA from 1 species